rnacentral:rRNA from 1 species
GUAGGGGGCGAGCGUUGUCCGAAGUUACUGGGCGUAAAGCGCGCGUAGGCGGGGGAUUAAGUGAGAGGUGAAAGGCUGGGGCUCAACCUCAUGCAGUGCCUCUCAUACUGGUCUUCUUGAGGGCGGUAGGGAGAAGUGGAAUGGCUGGUGUAGCGGUGAAAUGCGUAGAUAUCAGUCGGAACACCGGUGGCGAAGGCGGCUUCUUGGGCCGUUCCUGACGCUGAGGCGCGAAAGCUGGGGGAGCGAACGGGAUUAGAUACCCCGGUAGUCCCAGCCGUAAACGAUGGAUACUAGGUGUUGGGGGUAUCGACCCCCCCAGUGCCGCAGCUAACGCAUUAAGUAUCCCGCCUGGGGAGUACGGCCGCAAGGUUGAA